rnacentral:lncRNA from 1 species
GAGAGACUAGAGAUGGAGACAUCAGCCAGAUGACGUUACACCAUCCAGGAAUCUUGGUUGCAAUUUACUGACAGAACUGAGCUUUGGAACAUUUCAGGCCUGGCACGGAAUGCAGUUUUUACACAAGUUGGUAGAAUGGAGGUUGCACUGUUCGGGCCGGCCACUCUCCUACUGGCUGACAGGAUGCUGCCUGAGAUGAAACAGGGUGUGUGUGCACCACGGAGUCAGUCCAAGACUCCUGUUCUCACUCAGGGAUUCUUCAUUUCUUCUUCCUAUUGCCUCCACUUCAUGUUAUUUUCUUCCCUUCCCAUUUACAAGUAAAACUGACCUGAGCCCCGGGAAUAAAUGGUUUUCUUGGCUUCCUUCUUGCUCCC